rnacentral:rRNA from 1 species
GAUGAACGCUGGCGGCGUGCCUAAUACAUGCAAGUCGAGCGAACAGACGAGGAGCUUGCUCCUCUGACGUUAGCGGCGGACGGGUGAGUAACACGUGGAUAACCUACCUAUAAGACUGGGAUAACUUCGGGAAACCGGAGCUAAUACCGGAUAAUAUAUUGAACCGCAUGGUUCAAUAGUGAAAGACGGUUUUGCUGUCACUUAUAGAUGGAUCCGCGCCGCAUUAGCUAGCUGGUAAGGUAACGGCUUACCAAGGCAACGAUGCGUAGCCGACCUGAGAGGGUGAUCAGCCACACUGGAACUGAGACACGGUCCAGACUCCUACGGGAGGCAGCAGUAGGGAAUCUUCCGCAAUGGGCGAAAGCCUGACGGAGCAACGCCGCGUGAGUGAUGAAGGUCUUCGGAUCGUAAAACUCUGUUAUUAGGGAAGAACAAAUGUGUAAGUAACUAUGCACGUCUUGACGGUACCUAAUCAGAAAGCCACGGCUAACUACGUG